rnacentral:rRNA from 1 species
UACAUAGGGGGCAAGCGUUGUCCGGAAUGACUGGGCGUAAAGGGUGUGUAGGCGGUUUUUCAAGUUAGAAGUGUAAUACCUAGAGCUUAACUCAGGUGCUGCUUCUAAAACUGGGAGACUUGAGUAUGGGAGAGGAGAAUGGAAUUCCUAGUGUAGCGGUGGAAUGCAUAGAUAUUAGGAGGAACACCAGAGGCGAAGGCGAUUCUCUGGACCAUAACUGACGCUGAGGCACGAAAGCGUGGGGAGCAAA